AUUGAACGCUGGCGGCAUGCCUUACACAUGCAAGUCGAACGGCAGCACGGGUGCUUGCACCUGGUGGCGAGUGGCGAACGGGUGAGUAAUACAUCGGAACGUACCUUAUCGUGGGGGAUAACAAAUUGAAAAAUUUGCUAAUACCGCAUAAUACUCUGAGGAGGAAAGCGGGGGAUUCGUAAGAACCUCGUGCGAGUAGAGCGGCCGAUGGCUGAUUAGCUAGUUGGUGAGGUAAAGGCCCACCAAGGCAACGAUCAGUAGCAGGUCUGAGAGAAUGAUCUGCCACACUGGAACUGAGAAAAGGUCCAGACUCCUACGGGAGGCAGCAGUGGGGAAUUUUGGACAAUGGGGGCAACCCUGAUCCAGCAAUGCCGCGUGAGUGAAGAAGGCCUUCGGGUUGUAAAGCUCUUUUGUCAGUGAAGAAAACUUUAAUAAUAACACUAUUAAAGCAUGACGGUAACUGAAGAAUAAGGACCGGCUAACUACGUGCCAGCCGCCGCCGUAA
rnacentral:rRNA from 1 species